rnacentral:rRNA from 1 species
UCGAGUCUUCGGACUUGGGUGGCGCACGGGUGAGUAACGCGUAAAGAACUUGCCUCUUAGACCGGGACAACAUCUGGAAACGGAUGCUAAUACCGGAUAUUAUGGUUUUUUCGCAUGGAGGAAUCAUGAAAGCUAGAUGCGCUAAGAGAGAGCUUUGCGUCCCAUUAGCUGGUUGGUGAGGUAACGGCCCACCAAGGCAAUGAUGGGUAGCCGGCCUGAGAGGGUGAACGGCCACAAGGGGACUGAGACACGGCCCUUACUCCUACGGGAGGCAGCAGUGGGGAAUAUCGGACAAUGGACCGCAAGUCUGAUCCAGCAAUUCUGUGUGCACGAUGACGUUUUUCGGAAUGUAAAGUGCUUUCAGUCGGGAAGAAGUCAGUGACGGUACCGACAGAAGAAGCGACGGCUAAAUACGUGCCAGCAGCCGCGGUAAUACGUAUGUCGCAAGCGUUAUCCGGAUUUAUUGGGCGUAAAGCGCGUCUAGGCGGCAAGGAAAGUCUGAUGUGAAAAUGCGGAGCUCAACUCCGUAUGGCGUUGGAAACUGCCUUACUAGAGUACUGGAGAGGUAGGCGGAACUACAAGUGUAGAGGUGAAAUUCGUAGAUAUUUGUAGGAAUGCCGAUGGGGAAGCCAGCCUACUGGACAGAUACUGACGCUAAAGCGCGAAAGCGUGGGUAGCAAACAGG